rnacentral:lncRNA from 10 species
CAUGCUUGGAGUCAUCUAAAAUUCCUUAAUUUCUCUCAAAUCCAACAUCCAGUCUGUCAGAAAAUCCUGUUGAAAAUAUAAAGCCACUGUGGGACCCAGGCUGAUGACCAGCUGCUUCACAGUACAUUGCUACUCAUCAGGACAGAGGGGAAAGAGACAUGUCAGCUCAUGAACUUCUGCCCCAAAGUGACACAUGUCUCUUCUACCUAUAUUUCAUCAGUCAAAGCAAGUCUUAAGGCCACUUCAAAGUUCAACAGGGCAUCAUCUUCUCACACCAAGAGGCACUACAUGGACAGGAACUGGAACUUUUGGUAACAAGUAAUAUAAUCUACCGUGCUAAUAAACUGUGUUUUAUCCAUGCCAUAUUUUGCCAUGACCCGUGAUCCCUCUUUCAGAAAUAUUGUGUUUAGAAACAUUCAAACACUUUCUAUUUAGAAAAAAAAAAUCCAUUAAGAUACCAAUAGAUUGAUCCCAACAGAAAGGUCAACAAUAUUUGAGUGGCAAUUUAAAGCUUUCAAAGCACUUUCAACUAAAUAUCUCAUUUGUUCUUUCAAAGUACUCUAUGAAUAUUUGAACUCUGAACUUUGAUCUUAAAUUUACCUGUUCUUUUUAUUAAUCCAUAUUGUACUUAUUUCCAAAUGAAAAAAAAUUACACGUGUAGGUAUUUUAUCUCCUUUUAGUCUUUCAUGAUUUGAAUUUGAUCAUACUAAACUGGGCUUACUAAAAAUUACUAUUAAAAUUUUUAUGGAUUUUUUAAUUCAUCUGUAUUUCCUUUGUGUUCUAUGUUAUAUCCUUUUAUUUUCACACCAUCUCCUGUGACAACUCUUGUUCUUGUUAAUAACCCAUUGUCAUUAGCAAAUCCUACAUAUUACCUUUCCUGCUGCUCUCUUAAUUUUCUUAAAGCAGGUCAUUGCUAUUUCAUAAUUAUUCUGCUUUCUUAAAUAAUUCUGAAUCUCAUUUCCCAAAGUCAUUCUCUUCAUAGACUUCAUAUAGGAAAUUUAGGUAGGUAUAAUUAUGGAUUGUAAAAGCCUGAAGAAACCCUAGAGUUUAUGGACUCAUUUAAAAGAUGACAAAACAGACCCAGAGAGAUAGUGACUUGAUUGUAAUAUAAAAAAUAAUCAGGUAUAUUAAUAGUACUAUAACUGAGGUCUUUCCAUUUCUGAUGCAGUAGUCUGUCUCAUGUUCUGCCUUUCCUUUGCUUCAUGAAUUAGCAUACCAUUCUUGAUCUUGAGCUUUAUUACUUUGGUCUAGUCUUUAUUUUCCUGUCAAAUCUACUCUUCACUCUGUGCUGGCCUUGUUCUCUGCGUACAGGCUGUCCUCUACCUGGCCCUCUGGCUUCUGGCUGGGCUCACCCCAUGGCAAGCACCAGCGAUAGUUGGGACUCUGGAAAGAAUGAGAGAUCUGUGUUUGUGUUCUUAUGGCUUCUUGCAGCUAGGCUAUGGUUGGUCCAUGGCUAUACUUUUUUCUCAUCUGUGAGGGAUACUCCUGUCCCAGCUUGUUGGGUUCCGGUAACCAUCUCUUACCCAUAUCCCUUACAGGCCUAGGGUUAGUGAUGUCUUCCUGCAUUGCUAAUUAGAUUUUUAUAGCCUCCAUGUCAAAUUUUGUUCUUCGUAACAAGUUAUGUAACAACCUUCUGGGUUUGCUUAGGCCUGUCCACACCUUUGUAAAUAGUCUUUUCAUUAAAUUUUUAAAUUGUCACCUUUGAGUAUAUAUCUGUUUCCUGUCCAAAUCCUGACUGAUACAAGGUAUAUUGCUCUGAUUUCAGCAAAGGGGCUACAGUAAAAAUUAUUUGUCUGUCAAUAGAAGGGCUUUGUAGAAAGAAAUGGGUUCUUUUUGUCGUUACUUGGUUAUCUCUAAAUGUAAGCUGUUGAAGGUUGGGUUCUCCGAAUGCAGACAUGAAGACAAAGUUUGAGGCUCAAGAUAUUUAUUAAGGAUUGAGGUAUGUGAAAGGAAGGGGAAGGAGGUAUAGUUGGUUAUCAGGAAGUCAUAAAAGGCUUGGACUGCCUACAGAAGCUUACAGUCAAUAUUGCCUGUUAGGGUUGUUUGGCAUUGGGCUACACUAGCCGAGCCUUUAUAGGCACCAUCCUCAGUCAGCAGAUGCCAGCUGCCCUAGAAAGGGAAUGAUCAGACAGAAAUCAAGCAGACCCUGAGGAAGUGCUGGGAGGAGGCUUGUCUGGACAUUCCACACUCCACAGUUGGAAAGUACACUAUUUCAUAAAGGUUAUCUGGGUGGUACAUCUCUCUAUCUACCACACAAGUUGUCACACUUCUGUUUAGAUGUAUAUCAUUAUUUGUAUUUGUAGAAUGACUGGAUGUAAUAUAAAACACCCAGUCAAAUUUGAAUUUCAGAUAAACAACAAUUAAAUUUUAGUAUAAUUAUAU